GCUCCUACCGAUUGAGUGAUCCGGUGAAUAAUUCGGACUGACGCAGUGCUCAGCUUCUGGACGUUGUGUUGGAAAGUUUCAUGAACCUUAUCACUUAGAGGAAGGAGAAGUCGUAACAAGGUUUUCGUAGGUGAACCUGCAGAAGGAUCAAGAUCGGCAGCGCGUCGUGUCGGGCUAGAGUUUAGUUCUCGGUUGUCGCCGUCUCUUUUAUACUAAUAUUCUUUUUUUUCUUUUCUUUUUUUUUUUUUUUUCUCUCCUUUUUUUUCUUUCUUUUUUU
rnacentral:misc_RNA from 1 species